UUCAGGGUACAGGUGCUUAACAAUUACGCUUUGUUGUAUCAGUGGCAAGCAAAAGAAGGGUGUAGUCUUUACCACUGAGGAAUUUAGAAUCUGCUUCUGGAAGAUAAAGCUAAAUUGCUGAGAGCUGUGGGUGACAGAGCACGUAAGGCAGAGUGCAGACUACAGACAUCGUAGGGGUUGAAGAAGAUUGACCAAAUCUUGGGAGCUUGUGAUGGUUACCAUGAAAUUCAAGGCUUCCCUCUGGAACACAUCGCUGGAGUACUUUCUGUUAGUCUCAAGUCAUGAGAAUCCUCCCACAUUGUCAUUGUUGACAGACAUCAACGGGCCUGAACAAAGAAGAGGAUAAAUAGGUCAAUCCAUCAUCAAACCAGCUCAGUUGUAGGGAGGGGACUAUAGAACAGCCCUGAAUGGCCAUAGCGGGAGCUACCAGAUAAGUGAGUAGUCAACACUUAAAUACACCUACAGUGUACACUUUUGAGUAUUUAUUGUCAUGUCUCUGGUUUUUCUGUGUGCCUCUGUGAACGCCCCUGGAAUCUUAGAAUUUCUAUGAGAAAUUCCAGAUGUCUGAGGAAUCUUUCCGAACAUUAUAGUUUCUGCUAAUGUGAAGAAAAAGUUAGCCCAUGAAUUUGAGGUCAUGUUUGCACACAAAAAAGAAUUCAAGAAAUUACAAUAUAAUGUAAUUCCUACCUCAUUUUGGCUUUAAUUAUUUGGAUAUGAUAGGACCUUCUUAAACAAAUAUAUUUUAAACUUUCAAAGCAUAGUGAGAAAUCGCUUGUUUGUGACCAUGGAAGAAAGAGAGAUGUAGAAAUGUGAAAAAAUUUGUAAAUCCAAGUUAAUUAUAUUUCCAUUUGGCUUUCAAAUAAGGUAAGAAAAGACUCUGCCAGGUGUUUCUAUACUGUGAUAUGACAGCUAAUAUGUACUGAACACACAAAAUGGACCAUGUGCACUUUACAGGGCUAUCUCAGUUUUUUUUCUUAAAACAAUCUGCAAAAAGGGAAUUAUUAUUAUAUUAUUGUAAUACUCACUUACAAUAAGGAAAGACACAGCUUAGAGGAAAUGAGCAACUUGGCUAAAGUUGCAUGUGGAGGAAGUAAGAGAAACAGGAG
rnacentral:lncRNA from 1 species